AGCCUCACGCCGUACAACAUAUUGACAACGAUGCACCCGAGGCUGAUAAGGCUGCAGCUUCUUCGUCGAUUGUAUCGGCUGACAGCACGCCAGCAGUAACACGACAGGCUUUGGAUCGCGUGAGUCGCCAUUCCCGGCUUCCUUCUCCCCUCUCCUCUCCUGGAAGUAUGAUAUCCUGCUAUCACCCAGACAAUCGCCUGGUGCGAUGUAGCACGAGCGCAGAUUGAGCGGGGAUAUCUUGCAAGGAACCGAGAAAAGUGAAGCCGUGGAGCGAAUACCGCCAGGAGCGCGAAUUUAGUUGGCGAAGCGAGGGAAGCGAGUGUGGUGGAUUCCGCCAUGCGUUCUUUCGAGAAGACAUCGCGUGUUUCUGGUGAAGUGGUAGUGAGCGAGAAUUGGGACGUGCACAGCGGUUUGCGACUGUUCGAGGAACAAUCAGGAAAAGAUGCCACGCGCAGCCGUGCCGGAGCUUCAUACAAGAGGAGGCUCGUUAACCACCCGGCGCCAAUACAGCUGCUGAAUACUGCGUGAUGUGGUGAAGGGCUGGUCGAGCUGAGGCUGAGGAGCUCCCCUGUAUUCUGAUGCAAGUGGUUGGUCCUGCUCUUUUCUAACUGGCCCACUUUGAGGACGACAGCUUUGAACAAAAGCGCGCCGACGGCUGGAAAAAGCUGAAGCCAAAUGCCGUUCCAAAGCUGUUCCCGCCAAAGGCAUCGUCUCGCAAAAGAAGAGCGCCGAAAGACGUGACAAGAGCAGCAGCAGCGCCGUCUGGCGUAAGUGACGAUUCCGUCGUCGUCGAUGGAGCCGAUCCGGCACCGACGCAGGUGGAGGUGCACCUGCUGUCGUCCUCCAACGGCACGGAUCCGUGUCGGCAAGAGAGCUGCAUCGUGCCACAGCUAGCCAACUCAAGCCGGACGCCCCAGAGCACGACAGUCGAGCAGGAGCUCGCUGAGCCGAACGCUGCGUCAUCCGAUCCUCCGUGUUCUAGCAGCUCCUGCGCCGAAUUGAGACAACAGCUGGCAGACGUGACGACAAGGCACGAUCAACUGCUGGAAGCUUACGUGAUUGCGAAUUCGACCGUUAACGCGCUUAGAAGUAAGGUCGGCGAGUUGGAAGGCACCGUGGAAAUUCUCCGACAUCGCCUUCAGCCUAGCAACGGCGCCCAUUAACAAGUGCCUCCGCGAUAAAACAACCAAAGCGGCCCACUUUGAGGACGACAGCUUUGAACAAAAGCGCGCCGACGGCUGGAAAAAGCUGAAGCCAAAUGCCGUUCCAAAGGUGUUCCCGCCAAAGGCAUCGUCUCGCAAAAGAAGAGCGCCGAAAGAUGUGACAAGAGCAGCAGCAGCGCCGUCUGCCGUAAGUGACGAUUCCGUCGUCGUCGAUGGAGCCGAUCCGGCACCGACGCAGGUGGAGGUGCACCUGCUGCCGUCUUCCAACGGCCCUGAUCUGUCUCGGCAAGAGAGCUGCACCGUGCCACAGCCAGCCAACUCAAGCCGGACGCCCCGGAGCACGACAGUCAAGCAGGAGCUCGCUGCGCAUAACGCUGCGUCAUCCGAUCCUCCGUGUUCUAACGACUCCUGCGCCGAAUUGAGGCAACAUCUGGCAGACGUCACGACAAGGCACGACCAACUGCUGGAAGCUUACGUGGUUGCGAAUUCGAGCGUUAACGCGCUUAGAAGUCGGCGAGUUGGAAAGCACCGUGGAAAUUCUCCGACAGCGCCUUCAGCCUAGCAACGGCGCCCAUUAGCAAGUGGCUCCGUGAUAAAACAACCAAAGGAGUAUGCGUAUUCAAUAAAGCUGGCGCUUGGAUUUUCUGCACAA